UGGGGAAUUUUGGACAAUGGGCGAAAGCCUGAUCCAGCAAUGCCGCGUGUGUGAAGAAGGCCUUCGGGUUGUAAAGCACUUUUGUCCGGAAAGAAAUCCUUGGCUCUAAUACAGUCGGGGGAUGACGGUACCGGAAGAAUAAGCACCGGCUAACUACGUGCCAGCAGCCGCGGUAAUACGUAGGGUGCAAGCGUUAAUCGGAAUUACUGGGCGUAAAGCGUGCGCAGGCGGUUUGCUAAGACCGAUGUGAAAUCCCCGGGCUCAACCUGGGGAACUGCAUUGGUGACUGGCAGGCUAGAGUAUGGCAGAGGGGGGUAGAAUUCCACGUGUAGCAGUGAAAUGCGUAGAGAUGUGGAGGAAUACCGAUGGCGAAGGCAGCCCCCUGGGCCAAUACUGACGCUCAUGCACGAAAGCGUGGGGAGCAAACAGGAUUAGAUACCCUGGUAGUCCACGCCCUAAACGAUGUCAACUAGUUGUUGGGGAUUCAUUUCCUUAGUAACGUAGCUAACGCGUGAAGUUGACCGCCUGGGGAGUACGGUCGCAAGAUUAAAACUUAAAUGAAUUGACGGGGUCAUAGCUG
rnacentral:rRNA from 1 species